AACGUAGGAGACAAACGUUAUCCGGAGUUACGGGGCGUAAAGGGCGUGUAGGCGGUUUGUUAAGUCUGGCGUGAAAGCUCUCGGCUAAACCGGGAGAGGUCGUUGGAUACUGGCGAACUAGAGGAUGGUAGAGGCGUGUGGAAUUCCGGGUGUAGUGGUGAAAUGCGUAGAGAUCCGGAGGAACACCAGUGGCGAAGGCGACACGCUGGGCCAUACCUGACGCUAAAGCGCGACAGCAUGGGGAGCAAACGGG
rnacentral:rRNA from 1 species